AAUGGGGGAAACCCUGACGCAGCGACGCCGCGUGAGCGAUGAAGGCCUUAGGGUUGUAAAGCUCUGUUUUAGGGGACGAAUGUCUAGACGAGUAAUAUGCGUUUAGAAUGACGGUACCCUAAGAGGAAGCCCCGGCUAACUACGUGCCAGCAGCCGCGGUAAGACGUAGGGGGCGAGCGUUGUCCGGAAUUACUGGGCGUAAAGAGCACGUAGGCGGGACUUUAAGUCAGGUGUGAAAGACCGGGGCUCAACUCCGGGGUUGCACUUGAAACUGGAGUUCUUGAGGGCAGGAGAGGAAAGCAGAAUUCCUGGUGUAGCGGUGAAAUGCGUAGAAAUCAGGAGGAAUACCAGUGGCGAAGGCGGCUUUCUGGACUGACCCUGACGCUGAGGUGCGAAAGCGUGGGUAGCAAA
rnacentral:rRNA from 1 species